UGAGUGCUAGGUGUUAGGCCCUUUCCGGGGCUUAGUGCCGCAGCUAACGCAUUAAGCACUCCGCCUGGGGAGUACGACCGCAAGGUUGAAACUCAAAGGAAUUGACGGGGGCCCGCACAAGCGGUGGAGCAUGUGGUUUAAUUCGAAGCAACGCGAAGAACCUUACCAGGUCUUGACAUCCCAGUGACCGCUCUAGAGAUAGAGUUUUUCUUCGGAACACUGGUGACAGGUGGUGCAUGGUUGUCGUCAGCUCGUGUCGUGAGAUGUUGGGUUAAGUCCCGCAACGAGCGCAACCCUUAUUGUUAGUUGCCAUCAUUCAGUUGGGCACUCUAGCGAGACUGCCGGUAAUAAACCGGAGGAAGGUGGGGAUGACGUCAAAUCAUCAUGCCCCUUAUGACCUGGGCUACACACGUGCUACAAUGGUUGGUACAACGAGUCGCAAGUCGGUGACGGCAAGCAAAUCUC
rnacentral:rRNA from 1 species